CACCUACGGGGGGCAGCAGUGAGGAAUAUUGGUCAAUGGGCGGUAGCCUGAACCAGCCAAGUAGCGGGAAGGGUGAGGGUUCUAUGGAUUGUAAACUUCUUUUAUAAAGGAAUAAAGUGAGGCACGUGUGCCUUUUUGUAUGUACUUUAUGAAUAAGGCUCGGCUAACUCCGUGCCAGCAGCCGCGGUAAUACGUAGGAUCCGAGCGUUAUCCGGAUUUAUUGGGUUUAAAGGGAGCGUAGAUGUGUUAUGAAGUCAGUUGUGAAAGUUUGCUGCUCAACCGUAAAAUUGCAAUUGAUACUGGCG
rnacentral:rRNA from 1 species